rnacentral:lncRNA from 1 species
GCCAGCUGUAAAAUGUCACAUGGGAUGUGCCUGUAGAGAGAUUUCCCCUACCAAUUAAGUUUCCUCUUUUUCGUGACAGACUGUCCUUUUCCUCCACAGGAGUGUGUGCAUCCCAGGCAGGCGUGUUUGGGUGAGGAUAUUAAACCCCUUAAUGUCUCUACCCUAUAUUGCUACUCUGUGGAGUUUGGGAGGGCUGCCUCAGAGAGGAGGGUAAGACUGAGAACCUGUUCUCAUAAGCCGUGUGCUGAUUGCAGUGAAGAAUACUUGGGCAGAUUUUCUUUGUCUUUGUCUUCUGUCUUCCAGAAAUGGUCUCAAAAUGGAAGCCUUGCUGGUUAGUCCAGGACAUGUGACUCUGAUCCCAAAUCAGUUCACCUCUGUUGAUAAGUUAAGUUCUCAGUUUGUUUCAAAGGGCUUUGCCCUGCUACUUUAAUGUGCUGAAAAUCUUAAAUGUAAGGAAAUAUAUUCUCCUUUAAAAUUGUAAAUUUUAAGCAUCCAUUACCUGCUGAAUUGUAAAACACUUGAUCAUAACUUUAAUUUGCUUGAGGAAAUGCCAGUAUCUCUUAAACAGGGCUUGUAUUUGUUCAUAGGAAAACAUGAAUUCCUGCAGGAGAAUCUGUAAAUACUCUUAUCUGCACUGCAGAGACUUUACUCCACUUCAGACUGGGUAGAGGCUUUCCAAGAAGGUGUUGAAUACGCAGUAGUAACAGCUAUAACAGUCUAAGGAACUUAGUGUCUACGAGACUUCAGCUCAUAGAUACUUGGUCAACUUCGCUUGAAACCAGCCAGUGGAUUAACAAACCUAUUAUGAGGUGACAGAGGCCUGGCAGGCACAUGCAGCAGUCCCUCGAACCUGGGCAGCAAGAGCUGCAAUGACAAAACUGCAGAGAGCAGGAUAACACUUCAGAAGCCAGCCUGUAUCCCCAUGUCUCCUGAGCACAGUUUGUGUCUGCCAGCAAUACCGACUGGAUCUGCUGAAAAACUGAGAGCUGGGAGUCCUCAGCAUGCAGAGCACCUGGGCAGCGUCCCUGCGAGAGCCGUCAGAGCGGCCUUGUUCCCUGCAGAGCACGCAGGGCCCCAGGGCCAGCUGUGGCUGACCGAUGGCUGGCAAGGAGCACGCGGUGAGAGACCUGUUAGGUCUCUAGGCUGGAGCCAUCUAGGACCCCAAGUGUCUUAG